rnacentral:rRNA from 1 species
GACGAACGCUGGCGGCGUGCCUAAUACAUGCAAGUAGAACGCUGAAGGAGGAGCUUGCUUCUCUGGAUGAGUUGCGAACGGGUGAGUAACGCGUAGGUAACCUGCCUGGUAGCGGGGGAUAACUGUUGGAAACGAUAGCUAAUACCGCAUAAGAGUAGAUGUCGCAUGACAUUUGCUUAAAAGGUGCAAUUGCAUCACUACCAGAUGGACCUGCGUUGUAUUAGCUAGUUGGUGAGGUAACGGCUCACCAAGGCAACGAUACAUAGCCGACCUGAGAGGGUGAUCGGCCACACUGGGACUGAGACACGGCCCAGACUCCUACGGGAGGCAGCAGUAGGGAAUCUUCGGCAAUGGACGGAAGUCUGACCGAGCAACGCCGCGUGAGUGAAGAAGGUUUUCGGAUCGUAAAGCUCUGUUGUAAGAGAAGAACGAGUGUGAGAGUGGAAAGUUCACACUGUGACGGUAUCUUACCAGAAAGGGACGGCUAACUACGUG